AGAGGCAUGGCUCAGGAGGUAGAGCCAGCAGGCUAGGAAUCAGGAGGUUCCUGGUUCGAUCCCUGGCUCCUCCA